rnacentral:rRNA from 1 species
UACGUAGGGGGCAAGCGUUGUCCGGAAUCACUGGGCGUAAAGCGCGCGCAGGCGGUCAUCUACGUCUGGGGUGAAAGCCCGGAGCUCAACUCCGGGAUUGCCUUGGAUACGGGAUGACUUGAGGAUCGGAGAGGCAAGGGGAAUUCCACGUGUAGCGGUGAAAUGCGUAGAGAUGUGGAGGAACACCUGUGGCGAAGGCGCCUUGCUGGCCGAUUUCUGUCGCUGAGGCGCGAAAGCGUGGGGAGCAAACAGG